rnacentral:rRNA from 1 species
GAUGAACGCUGACAGAAUGCUUAACACAUGCAAGUCUUUGGCGAAGCUGUGCUUGCACAGCCUAGCCAAGGCGGACGGGUGAGUAACGCGUAAGGAACUUGCCCUGCAGUCAGGGAUAACAGACGGAAACGACUGAUAAGACCUGGUAAAGUCAGGCGGACUCAUGUCCAGCCUGAUGAAAAGAGAUGCUGCAGGAGAGCCUUGCGUCCUAUUAGCUUGUUGGUGGGGUAACGGCCCACCAAGGCGAUGAUAGGUAGCCGGCCUGAGGGGGUGGACGGCCACAAGGGGACUGAGAUACGGCCCUUACUCCUACGGGAGGCAGCAGUGGGGAAUAUUGGACAAUGGGGGCAACCCUGAUCCAGCAAUUCUGGGUGCACGAUGAAGGUUUUCGGAUUGUAAAGUGCUUUCAGCAGGGAAGAAAAAAAUGACGGUACCUGCAGAAGAAGCGACGGCUAAAUACGUGC